rnacentral:rRNA from 1 species
AUUGAACGCUGGCGGCAGGCCUAACACAUGCAAGUCGAGCGAGCGGCGGACGGGUGAGUAAUGUAUGGGGACUGCCCGAUAGAGGGGGAUAACUACUGGAAACGGUAGCUAAUACCGCAUACUAUCGGAUAACCCAUAUGGGAGUAGCUAGUAGGUGGGGUAAUGGCUCACCUAGACGACGAUCCCUAGCUGGUCUGAGAGGAUGAACAGCCACACUGAGACAGAGACACGGCCCAGGCUCCUACGGAGGCAGCGGUGGGUAAUAUUGCACAAUGGGCGCAAGCCUGAUGCAGCCGUGCCGCGUGUAUGAAGAGGGCCCUAGGGUUGUAAAGUACUUGCAGUCGGGAGGCGUUGCCGACAGAAGAAGCACCGGCUAACUCCGUGCCAGCAGCCGCGAUAAUAC